rnacentral:rRNA from 2 species
AUUGAACGCUGGCGGCAUGCCUUACACAUGCAAGUCGAACGGCAGCACGGGUGCUUGCACCUGGUGGCGAGUGGCGAACGGGUGAGUAAUACAUCGGAACAUGUCCAGUAGUGGGGGAUAGCCCGGCGAAAGCCGGAUUAAUACCGCAUACGAUCUUUGGAUGAAAGGGGGGGACCUUCGGGCCUCGCGCUAUUGGGGUGGCCGAUGGCGGAUUAGCUAGUUGGUGGGGUAAAGGCUCACCAAGGCGACGAUCCGUAGCUGGUCUGAGAGGACGACCAGCCACACUGGGACUGAGACACGGCCCAGACUCCUACGGGAGGCAGCAGUGGGGAAUUUUGGACAAUGGGCGAAAGCCUGAUCCAGCAAUGCCGCGUGUGUGAAGAAGGCCUUCGGGUUGUAGGAGCACUUUUGUCCGGAAAGAAAUCCUUUUCGAUAAUACCGAGA